rnacentral:rRNA from 1 species
AUUGAACGCUGGCGGCAGGCCUAACACAUGCAAGUCGAGCGAGCGGCGGACGGGUGAGUAAUGUCUGGGAAACUGCCUGAUGGAGGGGGGUAACUACUGGAAACGGUAGCUACUACCGCAUACCAUCAGAUGUGCCCAGAUGGGAUUAGCUAGUAGGUGGGGUAAUGGCGCACCUUGGCGACGAUCCCUAGCUGGUCUGAGAGGAUGACCAGCCACACUGGAACUGGGACACGGGCCAGACUCCUACGGGAGGCAGCAGUGGGGAAUUUUGCACAAUGGGCGCAAGCCUGAGGCAGCCAUGCCGCGUGUGUGAAGAAGGCUUUCGGGUUGUAAAGCACUUUCAGCGGGGAGGCGUUACCCGCAGAAGAAGCACCGGCUAACUCCGUGCCAGCAGCCGCGGUAAUUC